rnacentral:rRNA from 1 species
AGCGUAGACGGAGUGGCAAGUCUGAUGUGAAAACCCGGGGCUCAACCCCGGGACUGCAUUGGAAACUGUCAAUCUAGAGUACCGGAGAGGUAAGCGGAAUUCCUAGUGUAGCGGUGAAAUGCGUAGAUAUUAGGAGGAACACCAGUGGCGAAGGCGGCCUGCUGGACUGUUACUGACACUGAGGCACGAAAGCGUGGGGAGCAAACA